GACAUUUUUACACAAGAUGAGGUCGAAGAUGCUCUGGCUAUGAAAGACAAGAAAUACAACAUUUGGGUUACCCUGAGCAGCUGUAAUGUGUUCUCUGUUACAUUACUGUGUUCAUUUCUCUGGAUCAUCAUCACCAUUAGUUACUAUGCUUUAAUCCUCAACACUUCUAACUUGCACGGCGACCCUUACAUGAACUGCUUCUUGUCUGCUGUGACAGAAGUGCCAGCUUACAUAAUUGCCUUGUUACUACUCCAGUACUGCUCCAGGCACAUUUGCCAAUCUUCU